CGGACUGUAGGCUGCAACUCGCCUACACGAAGUCGGAAUCGCUAGUAAUCGCGGAUCAGCAUGCCGCGGUGAAUACGUUCCCGGGCCCUGUACACACCGCCCGUCACACCAUGGGAGUUUGUAACGCCCAAAGUCGGUGGCCUAACCUUUAUGGAGGGAGCCGCCUAAGGCGGGACAGAUGACUGGGGUGAAGUCGUAACAAGGUAAC
rnacentral:rRNA from 1 species